AUACGGAGGGUGCAAGCGUUACUCGGAAUCACUGGGCGUAAAGCGCGCGCAGGCGGGCUGAUAAGUUGGAUGUGAAAGCCUACGGCUCAACCGUAGAACUGCAUCCAAAACUGUCAGUCUAGAGUCUGGGAGGGGAAGAUGGAAUUAGUUGUGUAGGGGUAAAAUCCGUAGAGAUAACUAGGAAUACCAAAAGCGAAGGCGAUCUUCUGGAACAGUACUGACGCUGAGGCGCGAAAGCGUGGGGAGCAAACAGGAUUAGAAACCCUGGUAGUCC
rnacentral:rRNA from 1 species